rnacentral:misc_RNA from 1 species
UUGAUUCAUUUUGUUUGGGACUCAGAGCGUACCAUAUGGAGAGAAGAGUUUUGCGGGCCAGCGGCAGGCGCCUGGCUAAGCAGGCCUGAGGGGGCCCCGCCCUGGGGCCGCCUGCCGAAGCAACUGGACAGGUAAGUUUACAGUGGGUUUGGGAGUCUUUCAACUCUGUAAUGAUCCCUCCGCUGGUUCACCAACGGAGA